CCCAUCCACAGCUGGUUGGACCGAGGGUGGGAGUUGAGCCAGUCAGUUGGGUGGUACUGUAUCAGAGAAGGCGGUAUGUUGAUCCUGAGCCACAGAAAAGGAGAAAACAGGUUCCAAGCUGAAGUGGAAGAUGAAAUCUGAGAACUGAACCUUCAUUCAAAUCCUUUCCUGAGGUCGCUGUGUUCUUGCCCUUGCAUUCCACGGAGCACUGAUGAGGAAACAGAGGUUAAAAUUUUCCCAAGCUCACCUGCUGGUAACCUAGAGCAAGUCCUGUUAACUACUUCCUACAGUGCUUCUCUCACAAGCUAAAUGAAAAAAACUAAACAUUCACAUACCUAUGACCAACACAUAGCCAUACAUCUAUUCACUUGCCCACCCUCUGCCUACGGCUGUUGGCAU